rnacentral:rRNA from 1 species
AACUACGUGCCAGCAGCCGCGGUAAUACGUAGGUCCCGAGCGUUAUCCGGAUUUACUGGGCGUAAAGUGUCCGUAGUCUGAAUUGUAAGUCUGUUUUCAAAUCCUACGACUCAAUCGUAGAAAGGGAAUGGAUACUGCAAUUCUGGAAGUAUCUAGGGGUUAGUGGAAUUUCCGGUGGAGCGGUGAAAUGCGUUGAUAUCGGAAGGAACGCCGAAAGCGAAAGCAGCUAACUAUAGAAUACUUGACGAUGAGGGACGACAGUUUGGGGAGCAAACAGGAUUAGAUACCCUGGUAGUCCAAACCGUAAAUUAUGCUUGCUAGAUGUUUUUAUCAAUUUAUUGGUAGGAGUGUCGUAAUCUAACGAGUUAAGCAAGCCGCCUGGGUAGUAUAUUCGCAAGAAUGAAACUCAAAGGGAUAGGCGGGGGAACACACAAGCAGUGGAUUAUCUAGAUUAAUUGGAUACUAAGCCAAGAAUCUUACCUAGGAUUGACAUGUAUUGUGUCUGCGGUGAAAGUCGCAUAUCCGUAGCAAUACGGAGCUUUACACAGGUGGUGCAUGGUCGUCGUCAGCUCGUGCCGCAAGGUGUCUAGUUAAGUCUGGAAACGAGCGCAACCCUCGUGUUUAGUUAGUAUGUCUAAACAGACUGCUCGGGUAACCGAGAGGAAGGAGAGGAUGACGUCAGAUCCUCAUGCCCCUUACACCUAGGGCCUCAUAGAUAAUACAAUGGGUAGGUACAGCGAGAAGCGAUACCGCGAGGUGGAGCAAAUCUUUAAAACUACCCCUAGUUCGGAUUGUAGUCUGGAACUCGACUACAUGAAGUUGGAAUUGCUAGUAAUGGCAGAUCAGCCAUGCUGCCGUGAAUACGUCCCUGUUCCUUGCACUCACCGCCCGUCAAACCAUGGGAGCUGAGGCUCUUUGAAGACUCAUUAUAUGGGUUAAGGAGGGAAUCAGUGACUGGGGUUAAGUCGUAACAAGGCAUCCCUACCGGAAGGUGGGGAUA